AAAGAAGCGAAAAAGACCCAGAUAGACAGAAAGAGAGAAAAAGCAAUGGCGAUGGCAGAUUUGUUUAUCCCUCGAACCUCUCCGCUCUUAAGAAAUAUAAAGCAAAAGCACUCACAAAAGCUCCUCCAAAACAAAACAAAACAAAAACACUUCCAAUUCCUUUCUUGCUUUGAGAGCAAAACCCACUUUGCCCCACUCUUCUCCCAAAGUAUCUCCACACCCUUCUCUACAUAAAACCCUCCCAAAAAAAUGACACCUCUCAUUUUCAUCAGAAUCAGUGAGGAGACUAGUAUUGAAGGAAAUGGCGAGCUCGAGCGGGACCAAGGCGGUGGACUCGUCGGGGCCGCAGAGGUCGCUGUCGAGGGGGAUGACGAGAAUGUCUACUAGAGUUGUGGACUUUCCGACGGAGGGCGACGAUGCUCUGGACAGUGGAGUUGUGCCCUCCUGCCUUGCUUCUAUUGCUCCCAUUUUCAGGGUUGCCAAUGAGAUUGAGAAGGACAACCCUAGGGUUGCUUAUCUAUGCCGCUUCCAUGGAUUUGAAAAGGCGCAUAAAAUGGAUCCAACAUCAAGUGGACGGGGAGUUCGUCAGUUUAAGACUCAUCUUCUGCACAGACUCGAAAAGGACGAACGAGAUACAAAACAUCAGGUUGCUAAAUCUGAUACAAACGAAAUCAAGUUGUACUACCACGAAUUCUAUGAAAAAAAUAUCAAAGAUGGAGAAUAUACAAAGAAACCGGAAGAGAUGGCCAGGAAUUGUCAGAUUGCAACUGUACUGUACGAUGUGCUUAGGACAGUGGUACCUGCCAAUCAGAUAGACAAACAGAGCCAGAAAAUUGCUGAAGACGUCAAGAGAAAAGGGAGCAGUAUGUAAACUAUAACAUUCUUCCGUUAUAUACUGUCGGGGUUAAACCAGCAGUUAUGGAACUUCCUGAGAUCAAAGCAGCGCUCCGUGCUCUACAGAAUGUGGAUAAUCUUCCAAUGCCAAGAAUGCAUUUUAAACCCACGAAUCCUGAUGACAAGUCGACAAUGCCUACAGAGAGGAUUAAACCUGUGAAUGAUAUACUUGAUUGGCUUUCCGCUAUUUUUGGGUUUCAGAAAGGAAAUGUGGCAAAUCAGAGGGAACAUCUAAUUUUGCUACUUGCCAACAUUGAUGUAAGACAUAGAAGUCUUGAGAACUACACUGAGUUGAAUAGUGCCACUGUACAACAUUUGAUGGAGAAAUUUUUUAAGAACUACCGCUCGUGGUAUAACUAUCUGCACUCUAAAUCAAAUCUUCGGUUCCCUGAAGGUUUUCACAGACAACAAUUGGAACUUAUAUACAUUGCGCUCUAUCUGCUCAUAUGGGGUGAAGCUUCAAAUGUCCGAUUCAUGCCUGAAUGCUUGUGCUACAUUUUCCAUAAUAUGGCAAAUGAAGUCUAUGGAAUUUUAAAUAGCAAUGCUCAUCAUGUUAGUGGAGAAACAUACCAAACAGUAGCACAUGAUGAAGAAUCUUUUCUGAGGGAUGUUAUAGCUCCUAUCUACGGGGUUUUGUUCAAGGAAGCAAAGAGAAACAAAUUGGGCAAGGCAAGUCAUUCAAGAUGGAGAAAUUAUGAUGAUCUGAAUGAAUACUUCUGGUCGGACAAAUGUUUUAAGCUAGGGUGGCCGAUGGAUCCUAAAGCAGAUUUCUUUAGGCAUUCGGAUGUGAGACAACCAGCAAAUGAGAGGACAAAUCAAGCUACUGGUGGUAGGAGGAAGCCUAAAACAAAUUUUGUAGAAGUUCGAACCUUUUUGCAUCUCUACAGAAGUUUUGAUCGAAUGUGGAUAUUCUUCAUAUUGGCUUUACAGGCUAUGAUUAUUGUUGCAUGGGGUCCUUCUGGAUAUGUCACUUCAAUAUUUGAUGCGGCUGUCUUCAAAAGUGUGUUAAGCAUCUUCAUGACAUACGCUUUCCUGAAUUUAUUACAAGCCACUUUGGACAUAAUUCUCAGUUGGAAUGCAUGGAAGAGCUUGAAAUUCACUCAAAUACUACGAUACCUUUUGAAAUUUGCAGUAGCUGUUGUCUGGGCUGUGGUGCUGCCUAUUGGUUAUUCAAGUUCUAUGCAGAAUCCUACAGGGCUUCUGAAAUUCUUCAGUAGUUGGACUCGGGAUUGGCGUAAUCAAUCAUUUUAUAAUUAUGCUGUUGCAAUCUAUAUGGUUCCUAAUAUAUUGGCUGCUAUGCUAUUUUUUCUUCCACCUUUACGGAGGCACAUAGAGCGUUCCAACUGGCGCAUUGUCACUCUUUUUAUGUGGUGGGCUCAGCCAAAACUGUAUGUCGGAAGAGGAAUGCAUGAGGAUGUCUUCUCACUGCUGAAAUAUACAUUGUUCUGGAUCAUGCUGCUAAUCAGCAAGCUUGCAUUCAGCUAUUAUGUGGAGAUAUCGCCGCUUGUUGCACCAACAAAGUUGAUAAUGGAUAUGUCUAUCACUAAUUAUCAAUGGCAUGAGUUCUUUCCUAAUGCAACUCAUAAUAUUGGUGUUGUCAUUGCAAUAUGGGCUCCAAUUGUCUUAGUAUACUUUAUGGAUGCACAAAUAUGGUAUGCAAUAUUUUCUACUCUGUUCGGUGGGAUUCACGGAGCCUUCAGCCAUUUGGGGGAGAUACGAACACUUGGGAUGUUGCGGUCCAGAUUUGAGUCUGUGCCUUCAGCUUUCAGUGAUCGGCUUAUGCCAUCAUCAGAAAUUAAGGAUGCCAAAAAGAAGAAACACUUGGUGGUACUAUCCAUCUCCAGUGUUUUCACACUUGAUGUUUCUGUUGUCCAGUGGCCCCCUUUCUUGCUUGCUAGCAAGAUUCCGAUAGCAUUAGACAUGGCAAAGGAUUUUACGGGGAAGUCGGAUGAGGAUUUAUUCAAGAAGAUUAUGAAUGAUGAUUAUAUGUACUCGGCAGUGAUUGAAUGCUACGAGACACUCAGGGAUAUUAUAUUUGGCCUUCUUGAAGAUGAGGCCGAUAAGAUGAUUGUAAGGCAGAUAUGUUAUGAAGUAGACAGCAGUAUACAGCAGCAGAAGUUUUUGUUUAAUUUCCGGAUGAGUGGGCUGCCAUUUCUUAGUGAGAGGUUGGAGAAGUUUCUUAAACUCUUGCUAGCUGAAGAUGAGAAUGUCGAUAAUUACUUGCGUCAGAUAAUCAAUGUCCUUCAAGAUAUCAUGGAGAUUAUAACACAGGAUGUAAUGAUGAAUGGCCAUGAAAUUCUUGAAGAAGCUCACUACAUAGAGGGUCAAAAUGUCAAGAAGGAGCAAAGGUUUGAAAAAAUCAACAUAUACCUUGCACAAAAUCCAUCUUGGAGAGAGAAGGUUGUUAGGCUUCAUUUGCUUUUGACCGUCAAGGAAUCUGCCAUCAAUGUGCCCCAAAACUUGGAUGCUCGCAGGCGCAUUACUUUCUUUGCGAACUCUCUAUUCAUGAACAUGCCAAAUGCUCCCAAAGUUCGUGACAUGCUCUCCUUUAGUGUUCUGACUCCUUAUUACAAAGAAGAUGUUCUGUAUUCUGAUGAUGAACUUAACAAGGAAAAUGAGGAUGGAAUCUCAAUCUUGUUCUACCUGCAGAAGAUAUAUCCUGAUGAAUGGACAAAUUUCCAGGACCGCAUAAAUGAACAUAAGAAUGAGUACUCUGACAAGGACAAGUCGGAGUUAAUUCGCCAGUGGGUAUCUUACAGGGGACAGACACUUUCUAGAACAGUGAGAGGAAUGAUGUACUAUAGGAAGGCUCUAGACCUUCAAUGUAUCCUGGAAACAGCAGGAGAUGGUGGUGUUUAUGGAGGCUACCCAGCCCAGAUAUUAAGUGAAAUUGAUGAGAAGGAUAUUCUUGAUCGGGCACAAGCUCUGGCAGAUUUGAAGUUCACUUAUGUAGUUUCUUGUCAAAUCUACGGUGAACAGAAGAAAUCCAGUGAAAGUCGUGACAAAAGUUGUUACACAAAUAUUCUCAAGCUGAUGUUAACGUAUCCUUCUCUACGGGUUGCUUACAUAGAUACAAGAGAGGAGACAGUGAAUGGAAAAUCCCAAAAGAUUUAUUUUUCUGUGCUGGUCAAGGGAGGGGACAAAUGGGAUGAGGAAAUAUACCGCAUCAAGCUUCCAGGUCCUCCAACAGUAAUUGGUGAAGGAAAACCUGAAAAUCAAAACCAUGCCAUCGUCUUUACUCGUGGAGAAGCCCUGCAAACCAUUGACAUGAAUCAGGAUAAUUAUUUUGAGGAAGCUUUCAAAAUGAGAAAUGUAUUGGAGGAAUUCCGAAAGCCCCGACGGGGGCAGCGGAAACCUACGAUAUUGGGUCUAAGGGAACAUAUUUUUACUGGAAGUGUUUCAUCACUUGCUUGGUUCAUGUCCAAUCAAGAAACUAGUUUUGUCACUAUAGGCCAACGAAUUUUGGCAAAUCCACUGAGGGUACGGUUUCAUUAUGGCCAUCCGGAUAUUUUUGACAGACUCUUCCACAUAACAAGGGGUGGCAUAAGCAAAGCAUCGAAAGUAAUUAACUUAAGCGAGGAUAUAUUUUCAGGUUACAAUUCUGUUCUGCGUGGGGGAUUUAUAACACAUCAUGAGUAUAUCCAAGUAGGCAAGGGGCGUGAUGUUGGAAUGAAUCAAAUAUCACUUUUCGAGGCUAAAGUUGCAAAUGGGAAUGGAGAGCAGACACUUAGCCGUGAUGUUUAUAGGCUUGGGCGUCGGUUUGAUUUCUAUAGAAUGCUGUCCUUUUACUUCACAACAGUUGGGUUCUAUUUUAGUAGCAUGGUAACUGUGCUGACUGUCUAUGUGUUUUUGUAUGGACGUCUAUAUAUGGUUAUGAGUGGAUUGGAAAGUGAGAUCCUGGAUAGCCCAGCCAUACAUCAGACCAAGGCUUUUGAAGAAGCUCUGGCUACACAGUCUGUCUUUCAACUGGGGUUGUUGCUGGUCCUCCCCAUGGUUAUGGAAAUUGGUCUGGAGAAAGGAUUUCGCACUGCCUUGGGUGAUUUCAUCAUCAUGCAGCUGCAGCUGGCUUCUGUUUUCUUCACUUUCCAACUAGGAACAAAAGCACAUUAUUACGGAAGGACAAUCUUACAUGGUGGAUCUAAAUAUAGAGCAACUGGCCGUGGUUUUGUGGUUUUUCAUGCAAAGUUUGCCGAUAACUACAGGCUGUACUCAAGAAGUCACUUUGUGAAAGGGUUGGAGCUGUUGAUUCUGCUGAUUGUAUAUGGAGUCUACGGGAAUGCUUAUAGGAGUUCAAAUCUGUAUUUUUUCAUCACAUUCUCCAUGUGGUUUCUGGUUGCUUCCUGGUUGUUUGCUCCAUUCAUCUUUAAUCCGUCCAGCUUUGACUGGCAAAAAACUGUAGAUGAUUGGACUGAUUGGAAGAGGUGGAUGGGAAAUCGUGGUGGUAUUGGGAUCUCACCUGACAAAAGUUGGGAAUCAUGGUGGGAUGAAGAGCAGGAACACCUUAAGCACACUAUUAUCCGUGGAAGAAUUCUUGAGAUAAUGCUUGCAUUUCGCUUCUUCUUUUACCAAUAUGGGAUUGUUUACCACCUCGAUAUAGCUCAUUUCAGCAAGAGUUUACUGGUUUAUGGACUUUCUUGGGUGGUUAUGGUAACAGUGCUUCUCGUCUUAAAGAUGGUGUCAAUGGGUAGACGAAGAUUUGGCACCGACUUUCAGCUCAUGUUCAGAAUUCUGAAAGCACUUCUUUUCCUUGGUUUCAUGUCGGUCAUGACUGUACUAUUUGUUGUCUGUGGGCUUACUAUUUCAGAUCUGUUUGCCUCUAUCCUUGCCUUCUUGCCCACAGGGUGGGCACUUCUUCUUAUCGGGCAAGUAUGCAGGCCAAUGCUUAAGGGAGUAGGAUUCUGGGAAUCAAUCAAGGAGCUGGGAAGAGCAUAUGAUUAUAUAAUGGGAGUAGUAGUCUUCGCGCCUGUUGCCAUUUUGUCAUGGUUCCCAUUUGUCUCAGAGUUCCAAACACGGUUGCUCUUCAACCAAGCAUUCAGUCGAGGCCUACAAAUUUCUAUGAUUCUUGCCGGAAGGAAGGAUAAGACGACGGCUUCAAGCUAGGGAAUGAACUUAAGAUGCCAUGCACUGUGAAGUUCUUAUCAUCUCAGGUCAUGUCCACACUAGUUUAUUCAUGUGAAAUUCUAUAGCAUCAUAGGAGUUAGUUUUUAUGAGGCAGAUCAAGUAGAGUGACUUGUAUAUCUUUUUCUUGUAUUUUUCAUGUACAUCAUUAGGAUAGAAGCUCACUUGAUUCAUGAACUGCUAUUGAUUUUAGCUUUUGAUUUUAAAUUGAAAAUUUUGAAUAUUC